UACGUAGGGUGCAAGCAUUAAUCGGAUUUAUUGGGCGUAAAGGGCGCGUAGGCGGUCGUGCAAGUCGGAUGUGAAAUCUCAGGGCUCAACCCUGAAACUGCAUUCGAUACUGCGCGGCUAGAGUGCUGGAGGGGAGACUGGAAUUUACGGUGUAGCAGUGAAAUGCGUAGAUAUCGUGAGGAAGACCAGUGGCGAAGGCGAGUCUCUGGACAGCAACUGACGCUGAGGCACGAAGGCCAGGGGAGCAAACGGG
rnacentral:rRNA from 1 species